rnacentral:misc_RNA from 1 species
AACUUUCGACAAUUGAUCACUUGGUUCUGGCAUCGAUGAAGAACGCAGCGAAAUGCGAUAAGUAAUGUGAAUUGCAGAAUUCAGUGAAUCAUCGAAUCUUUGAACGCACAUUGCGCCCAUUAGUAUUCUAUUGGGCAUGCCUGUUCGAGCGUCAUUUCAACCCUUAAGCUCAGCUUAGUGUUGGGAAUCUACCACGAGCGGAGUUACCCGGUACCUACCCUAUAACGGGGCCAGGUUACCCUGUAGCUACCCUGUAGUUCCUCAAAUCCAACGGCGGAGUCGUAGUCACCUCUGAGCGCAGUAAUCUUUAUCACGCUUCUGAAGGUGCUACAGCCCUAGCCGCUAAACCCCCAAUUUUUUAAUGGUUGACCUCGGAUCAGGUAGGAAUACCCGCUGAACUUAAGCAUAUCAAUAAGCGGAGGCU